rnacentral:rRNA from 1 species
CCUACGGGGGGCUGCAGUAAGGAAUAUUGGUCAAUGGAGGAAACUCUGAACCAGCCAUCCCGCGUGCAGGAUGAAAGCCCUAUGGGUUGUAAACUGCUUUUAGCAGAGAAGAAAAGCUUUCAUUAAUGAGAGUCUGACGGUAUCUGCAGAAUAAGCACCGGCUAACUCCGUGCCAGCAGCCGCGGUAAUACGGAGGGUGCGAGCGUUAUCCGGAUUUACUGGGUUUAAGGGGUAGGUUUAAGGCAUAUUAGAAAUCUUGUCGCUUAACGAUGAAAUUGCCAAUGAUACUGGUACUCUUGAAGUGGGUUGAGGUUAGCGGAAUGUGACAUGUAGCGAUGAAAUGCAUAGAUAUGUCAUGGAACACCAAUUGCGAAGGCAGCUAACUGGGCCUUGAUUGACGCUGAGGCACGAAAGCGUGGGUAGCGAACAGGAUUAGAUACCCGAGUAGUC